rnacentral:tRNA from 1 species
GCUGGCGUAGUUCAAUGGUAGAACGCUUGAUUUGUAAUCAAGUAGUUGGGGGUUCGAAUCCUCUCGCCAGCUCCA